rnacentral:rRNA from 1 species
UACGGAGGGGGCUAGCGUUGUUCGGAUUUACUGGGCGUAAAGCGCACGUAGGCGGCUUUGUAAGUUAGAGGUGAAAGCCCGGGGCUUAACUCCGGAAUUGCCUUUAAGACUGCAUCGCUAGAAUUGUGGAGAGGUAAGUGGAAUUCCGAGUGUAGAGGUGAAAUUCGUAGAUAUUGGGAGGAACACCGGUGGCGAAGGCGGGCGCCUGGACGAAGACUGACGCUGAGGCGCGAGAGCGUGGGGAGCAAACAGG